rnacentral:snoRNA from 1 species
ACCCUCCGUUUCCUUACGCCUCAAAUCUAAACACUGGUCUGAUGGCUAGAAAAAAGGAGGAAAAGAAAACCUGAAGCGGCUUGGAUUUUUUAGUGACAUACAAGU